UUAUAUAUAAUACAUGUCUCCUAACUAGAGUCUAAUUCUAAUUUAAUUAGAAUUACACUCCUAAUUAUAAUCCAUAUAUGCCAAAUUAAAUUUAAAUUAUAUCCAAUCCCAAUUAGAUUAGGAUUUAACUCCAAUUUAGAUAACUACAAAUCUAAACCAAAUAUAACAAAGUCAACUUAUUAAUUAAACAGUAAUUUUGAUAGGAUAUCAUGCACAUAAUCCUAUAAAACUUCAAAAUAUUAAAAAUCUUAUUUUGUUUCUUUUAAUUUU
rnacentral:lncRNA from 1 species